rnacentral:rRNA from 1 species
CCUACGGGGGGCUGCAGUGAGGAAUAUUGGUCAAUGGGCGCAAGCCUGAACCAGCCAAGUAGCGUGAAGGAUGACUGCCCUCCGGGUUGUAACCUUCUUUUAUAUAGGAAUAAAGUGAGGCACGUGUGCCUUUUUGUAUGUACUUUAUGCAUAAGAUUAGGCUAACUUCGUGCCAGCCGCCGCGGUAAUACGGAGGAUCCGAGCGUUAUCCGGAUUUAUUGGGUUUAAAGGGAGCGUAGAUGGGUUGUUAAGUCAGAUGUGAAAGUUUGCGGCUCAACCGUAAAAUUGCAAUUGAUACUGGCAGACUUGAGUACAGUUGAGGUAGGCGGAAUUCGUGGUGUAGCGGUGAAAUGCUUAGAUAUCACGAAGAACUCCGAUGGCGAAGGCAGCUUACUAAGCUGCCACUGACAUUGAUGCUCGAAAGUGUGGGUAUCAAACAGGAUUAGAUACCCUGGUAGUC